GAGGGUAUAGCUCAAGUGGCAGAGUGCGUGCUUAGCAUGCACAAGGUCCUGGGUUCAAUCCCCAGUAUUGCCU
rfam:Camelus ferus unplaced genomic scaffold scaffold115, whole genome shotgun sequence.